AUCUCGAUCUGUUAUCGGGAUAUGUUGGGUUGUUGGGAGGUUUUCACAUGAUAUAUCAUUUGUUGGAGAUACACAUGCUUUACUUAAUUGUUAACAACUAAAAUUGUAAGCAGAGGCAUCUGUGAGCCCCUUUGCGAAAGCAUCGGAAUUUUGACUCGCUAAUGUCCCCUAGGACCCGAGUUCUUGUUAUCUGUUCCGAGAUUGAGCGCUCUACCCGUACGUGGGGGAAUGGGACCCCCAUCACCCACUACCUUUCCUCGAGUCUGUUUAUUGGGAGCCACAACCUUGGUUUUAUUUGCUCAUAUGCACGAUGCAUGAUUUACUUCUUGUUGCCUUCGGGUGUUUAUUUCUGUACUGUACUCAUAUUGCGGAUAGACUUAUCCUGUGCCUGGUCGUUAGUGCCCGCCUGGACUAUGUCGCAAACCUCUGGGUCCGUAUCGGAGUACGGCCGAACUUCGUCACGGGUAGCUUAGUUGGGUGGCUCCCAUUAAACUUUCUCUUGCAUUGGGAACGGUCUUGUUGUGAGACUCCACCUGUAGUAAGUGGGUUCGAGCAUGCGUAUGGUUACAUUUGGGCAACCCCUGCAGGGUGUACAUCUUAUCGAUAAGCCGUGUCCGCGGUUAUGGACGACUUGGAAUUGUAUGGCUUGAUCAUAGAACAACUUACACCUUUAUGUUGUUGAUAAUAAUCUGCUAAUAACUUGAUUAGUAAUAUAGCAUUACUACAACCGAUACCUAAUAAAACUUGUCCACCGUUGAGUGCCUUUUACAUUGCCUCUUCGCAAUUGUUGAAGGGGAUAUGUGUAAUCGGCUGGGUUAUGUUUGUGUAGUAUUUAUCUGUUACCUUGUGCGCUCUCUUAUCUUCUCUGAGUAGACGGAUGUUGUAGCGUGUCUCUAUUGGAUAGUAGCUUUGCUGCCGCUAAACUCCACAUAUAGCCGGGUGAAGUUUAUACCGCCCACCAGCGAGCAUAGCUGGUCUUGUCUCGCAAGUACGUGCCAAUGGUACUUACCCUCGCCUUCCUUUCUUUUUGUCUCCUCCCCCUUUUGUCGGCAACCGAUGGCCCGAUUUUGACAGGUACGAGAUGACGACGUUAGCAAGGUUACCCUUCCGGCUUGGCCUGGGCAGGGUUAUGGACGCCACUGGUUAUCUUCAGGACUCUUAGUCCAAUUUGUAUCUUGUCCGUACUCGGACGUAUUUGACUUUCUGUAUGAUUUUGGAUCUUUGUAUUGUAUAUUUGUAUCUUGACUCGUUGGAGUUGUUGUUGUAAUAUAUGUUUCUUGUGGGCUCUA